rnacentral:ncRNA from 1 species
AUCCUUAGGGGCGACCUGGUAUGGGUCUGAGAUAGCUUCCUCGCUGAUCGGAAUGACGAGCAGUGCAGACUGGUCCCUUUGAACCUGAUCCGGUUUGUACCGGCGUAGGAAAAGGAA